CCCCUCUCAGGGUCGCAUCUGGAGAGCUUCCAGUACUCUAAGUUUCCAGUCUUCUACCAGUCUCGGCUAUGGGAGGGAGAGUCAAGUAGAGGCCUACCCAUUCCAUUCCUAGCUUGGGCAGUGGCUAGCGAGUGGAAGGCAUUUUGCUACCAGU
rnacentral:snoRNA from 1 species